rnacentral:misc_RNA from 1 species
GCGUUUCCGCAUCUUGGGCGGUAGGGACGGUGCUGACUAUGGCGACGGCGUCGGGGAGUAAAGGCGGUGGCAGAGGCAGAGCGGUGACCGCGCCUCUGCGGAGGGCCAGUGACGGCGCCCGCGGGUGUGUGUGAGGAUGGGACUUUGAGCCUGUUGGACCGGGCAGUGAGGUGGGUCCGGCGCCGAGGGUUCGAGCCUUGCGGCAACCGUGCAGCAUCUUGGCAGUCAAACCACACACUCCAUUAAUAAGGUUUCCUGACAGAAGAGACAAUCCUAAACCCAAUGUAU